rnacentral:lncRNA from 1 species
GCUGCUGGCCAACGCCCGGGAGAGGACCCGCGUCCACACCAUCAGCGCCGCCUUCGAGGCGCUGCGGAAGCAGGUUCCCUGCUAUUCUUAUGGUCAAAAGUUGUCCAAACUGGCCAUCUUGAGAAUAGCCUGUAACUAUAUCCUUUCCCUGGCCAGACUAGCAGACCUGGAUUACAGCGCUGACCACAGUAACAUGAGCUUCUCUGAAUGCGUGGAGCAGUGCACUAGGACCUUACAAGCAGAAGGAAGAUCUAAAAAAAGGAAGGAGUAAUAACAGGGAAGGGAGGAUUCAGAAGAGCUUCCAGCCAGUUACAUCUGUUCUUGGCAAAGGUUGCACAAUCCAGAUGAAGACUGCGAGCAGCUUUUUUGCAGAAGCCCCUUUUCAAGAUGAUGAUUGGCCAAGGAACUUUCUCAGUCUCUGGAACAGAAAGGAAAAAAAAAAAAGGACAAGGAUGCUUCUUAUUGUUUUUAAGCCAGCCACCUUUUAGUACGUGCAAUUUAUUUAGCACUUUUCCCUUUGCUUAACUGGGAAAUGUUCCCCUCUCAGCUCAUGUGUACAGUCAUUUUUUGUUGUUGCCGUUGUUGCUGUUGUGCCAAAGAUUUGAUGGAGCUUCUACACUGUGUCUUAUUUUUGCCUUAAUGUUAAAUCCUUGAGCCAAAGAGAAGUCAGAGACACCGUUCAGAUUGCAGCAAGUGGGCCAGCAGCUGUCAGGGACAGAUCUGAAUUUUGGAAUCCUUCUGCGAGGUCCCUCUUAGCUCUCCCAUCCCGCAGCCCUGCCACCAGCCUUUGGUGUGGCAAUGAGUGGGGACACGGCACCGGGUGAUGAACCACCACGUUGUCUUCUUCCUUGGAGCUGCUCCAUAGUUCCACCUCUUUGGCCAAUUCCUGACGUUCCUGCGACAUCCACAGGGUAGGGAUACUGACGUGUAGAGAGAGCUUAAGCAGGAUCUAUGGUGUUGGGUAUUUGUUUGUUUGGUUUUUUUUAAUAAAGAAAAAAAAAAUUAAGUAGAAGCUAAGCGC